AUUCAAUUAAGGACUCCUCUUCCCACUUGGAGCCGGUCUCCAGGGCAGAUCUUCCGGGCGACUCGCCCUGUAAGAAAUUAGAAAAUGCUACAAUAAAGCCCUUUAAAAAAAAAAAAAAAAAAAACUGAAAUAAAGAAAGUGUCAACUUUAAUAAUGACAGCUCUCACGCUGUCCGCCGUAGACGCGCACGUCCCUUAAAGUUGGAAGUCAGCGAAAAGACGAAGCGAAGUAGCUCAGAUCAUUCAUGGAAAGCCAUCUUCUAUAUUAAAAAUGCCACUGCUAGUACAACACAAGGUAAACAUGAAAGUUUAUUUCAAUUUUACAGUGUUGAUGUCCCCCUUUUAUGCUUUGAUUCUUUGU
rnacentral:lncRNA from 1 species